GACAGAGGGGGCAAGCGUUGCUCGGAAUUACUGGGCGUAAAGGGCGCGUAGGCGGCCAACUAAGUCGGACGUGAAAUCCCCGGGCUCAACCCGGGAACUGCGUCCGAUACUGGAUGGCUUGAAUCCGGGAGAGGGAUGUGGAAUUCCAGGUGUAGCGGUGAAAUGCGUAGAUAUCUGGAGGAACACCGGUGGCGAAGGCGGCUUCCUGGACCGGUAUUGACGCUGAGGCGCGAAAGCCAGGGGAGCAAACGGG
rnacentral:rRNA from 1 species